ensembl:lncRNA
UAAAAAAAAAAAGAAAUGUUGUUUAACUUUCUUUGAUUCAUGUUUGCAUGAAAGUAUGCUUUUUUAUUUAUUUAUUUAUUUUGAGAGUCUCACUCUGUCACCCAGGCUGGAGUGCAGUGCACUACUGGGCUCAAGCGAUCCUCCAACAUCAGCCUCCUAAGUAGGUGGGACCACAGGCUCAUGCCACCACACCCAGCUAAUUUUUUGUAUUUGUUGUAGAGAUGGGGUUUCACCACAUUGCUCAGGCUGGUUUCAAACUCAUGGGCUCAAGAGAUGCUUAGUUUUGAACUCCCAAAGUGCUAGGAUUGCAGAUGUGAGCCAGCAUGCCUAUAUUAAUUUUGUUUUGGGUGGGAGGGUUGAGAAAAUCACUUUAUUCUAAUUAACUCUCAAACAAUAAAAUUACAGCAGCUGGUUUAAGGAAACCACAGAAAUAUUUGUCCAGCGCAAAAUUCUAUACCAUCUCGGUGAAAUUCUAUACAGUGAGAACACCCUCUUCCAUUGUAAUUCUGAAGCAGGAAAGAUAUGAAUGACAGAGGAGAAUUUUAACUGAUGGUUUUAUACUUUAUACCUUUAUUGUCAAUUAUAUUUUAUGCUAAAUUAACUUGGUCAUAAGAGCCAUUUUCAUUUCUUCAGUUUGGACUUGAUUAGGCUAUUCCAUUUGCAAAUCUGCACUGUUUCAACACUUCAUUGAAACCUCACAGAGUUUUAUGUCAUCCUGGUUCUGGGCAUGCUCCAAAAACCGUUUGAUCUCAGAAGCAAGGCCGCUGCUGCUGUGCUGGCUGGGUUCCCUGAGGUUCGUGGCCUCAGGAAAUGGGUAGAAAUCACAGGACAAUCUCUUUUCCCACCAAAAAAGUUGCAUAUUUUGGUAAGUGUUUGUCCUAGAGGGAAAAAACUGAAAUUUACAUUAGCAGUGCUGUGCAAGAUUCUUACAUAAAUCAAGACCUAAAAGCAGCUUGCAGUGGAGGUUUUGGUCCCCUGUUCAGGUGCUUGGACAGAAGCCAUAAGCUGGUGAGCAUGACAAGGAAAAGGAGGCAGUGAAGACAGGUGACAGGCACCUAGCAGGGAAGGAGGAUUCAGGUGUGCCAGACUCCUUGGAAUGGGGUGUUGUUUUUCCUUUUUUUUUAAAUCUCUGUAGGAAGGUGCUGGGUAGGGAUCCCAGAGAAAGAAAGGGUCCAAUACUUCUUUAACUGCCCUGGAUGAAGGGCACUGCUGUAGCAGCUAGUAUCGGAGACUCUCCUAUCUCAUGGUUGAGGCAGAACUAGGAUAGAAUAGUGAAUAAAAGGAAUGCUUAUAGGAAACCAUUUUGCGUGGAAUGCUAGAUGGCCAAGCCUCAGCCUUCAGUCCAGUGUAACCCUUGCCUCACUUGUCAAUAGUGAAAAAUUAGUUUGGUUAGAAGAACCAGCUGGAAACACACCAGCUUCUGCUAUCUUCAUGCUCAUCGUUAGAAAAAGAUAACCAGUGUGAACAUUCUGAUCUGUUAAUUCCUUGGAUUGUUUUCCUCCCAAUGGACUGUUUGUUGGUAGAAUAACCUCCAAAACUCAAAGCUAAAAUGCAUCAUUUUAGCCUGGUCGGCAGUUCCUUAAGAAUGGACUGGUGGCAUGGUUGAGCUAAUAUGGAAAAGCUACACCUUCCUGCAGAAGAUCACCUGACCUGCUAUGCCACUGCAAAUCUCAGCCUGAGGUAUAAUUCAGUGAAGGCAGGUAGCUGUGCUUCUCAGAGCAGAGAAGCAGUUUUAAGAGCAGAAAGGUAGAGGAAAUCUAGAAAAGAACCGUCUUG